rnacentral:tRNA from 2 species
GGUGGGAUAGCUCAGCCGGUUAGAGCGCAGGACUCAUAAUCCUGAGGUCCCCGGUUCGAUUCCGGGUCCCACUACCA